rnacentral:misc_RNA from 1 species
AAGUCGUAACAAGGUUUCCGUAGGUGAACCUGCGGAAGGAUCAUUAUUACGAGAUCAAAAUCGUAACCCUAGAAACAUUGUGCAUUUGUGUCAAAACUCCGGUUGCAUUUGACCUUUGUAUGGCUUUUGAUCCACACAUGCACACACUUUGUUGUGUCCGUGGGUGGAGCCACUUUCUGAGCAGAUGAAAGUGAAACACUCGCAAGGGUGUUUGGGCCUGUCAAAUGUUUUUAACCGGUUAUCUUCUAUCUGCUCACCUCAUCAAACAAACUAUUAACCCCAAGUAAAUAUUUUGAACUAAAUACAUCUGACUUGGACGACUUAACUGUUGUCCCUGUCUGAAUCUCAAAACCGAACUUAAGAACAACUCUUAACAACGGAUAUCUUGGUUCUC